rnacentral:misc_RNA from 1 species
CCUUAUCUGAUAAUAUCGGCCAUUCGAAACUUGAGGAACACGAAGGGAUCGCCGCCGACUAAAAUCGUCAGCUACGUGGCGAGGACUUCGCAUAUUUCAAGAGCCACCGCCAAACGACAAGUGGACCUGGCCUUGAGACGCGCGGUGAAUGACGGUCUGCUGAGACGACGUCACGGUCACUAUUGUUUGGAUCCCGUCGCGGCCUUCUUCAAAUCCAAUUCCGGAAAAUCAUCGAAAUCUCCGCGGGGCAAAAGAGCGCCCGGUGGUUCGGCAAAGUCGAACGCGCCGAAGAAAAUCAA